rnacentral:rRNA from 1 species
GUUGGGUAGGGGAGCGUUCUGUAAGCCUGUGAAGGUGGCCUGUGAGGGUUGCUGGAGGUAUCAGAAGUGCGAAUGCUGACAUAAGUAACGAUAAAGCGGGUGAAAAGCCCGCUCGCCGGAAGACCAAGGGUUCCUGUCCAACGUUAAUCGGGGCAGGGUGAGUCGACCCCUAAGGCGAGGCCGAAAGGCGUAGUCGAUGGGAAACAGGUUAAUAUUCCUGUACUUGGUGUUACUGCGAAGGGGGGACGGAGAAGGCUAUGUUGGCCGGGCGACGGUUGUCCCGGUUUAAGCGUGUAGGCUGGUUUUCCAGGCAAAUCCGGUUCACUUUAAAACUGAGGCGUGAUGACGAGGCACUACGGUGCUGAAGCAACAAAUGCCCUGCUUCCAGGAAAAGCCUCUAAGCAUCAGGUAACAUCAAAUCGUACCCCAAACCGACACAGGUGGUCAGGUAGAGAAUACCAAGGCGCUUGAGAGAACUCGGGUGAAGGAACUAGGCAAAAUGGUGCCGUAACUUCGGGAGAAGGCACGCUGACACGUAGGUGAAGUGAUUUACUCAUGGAGCUGAAGUCAGUCGAAGAUACCAGCUGGCUGCAACUGUUUAUUAAAAACACAGCACUGUGCAAACACGAAAGUGGACGUAUACGGUGUGACGCCUGCCCGGUGCCGGAAGGUUAAUUGAUGGGGUCAGCGCAAGCGAAGCUCCUGAUCGAAGCCCCGGUAAACGGCGGCCGUAACUAUAACGGUCCUAAGGUAGCGAAAUUCCUUGUCGGGUAAGUUCCGACCUGCACGAAUGGCGUAAUGAUGGCCAGGCUGUCUCCACCCGAGACUCAGUGAAAUUGAACUCGCUGUGAAGAUGCAGUGUACCCGCGGCAAGACGGAAAGACCCCGUGAACCUUUACUAUAGCUUGACACUGAACAUUGAGCCUUGAUGUGUAGGAUAGGUGGGAGGCUUUGAAGUGUGGACGCCAGUCUGCAUGGAGCCGACCUUGAAAUACCACCCUUUAAUGUUUGAUGUUCUAACGUGGACCCGUAAUCCGGGUUGCGGACAGUGUCUGGUGGGUAGUUUGACUGGGGCGGUCUCCUCCUAAAGAGUAACGGAGGAGCACGAAGGUUGGCUAAUCCUGGUCGGACAUCAGGAGGUUAGUGCAAUGGCAUAAGCCAGCUUGACUGCGAGCGUGACGGCGCGAGCAGGUGCGAAAGCAGGUCAUAGUGAUCCGGUGGUUCUGAAUGGAAGGGCCAUCGCUCAACGGAUAAAAGGUACUCCGGGGAUAACAGGCUGAUACCGCCCAAGAGUUCAUAUCGACGGCGGUGUUUGGCACCUCGAUGUCGGCUCAUCACAUCCUGGGGCUGAAGUAGGUCCCAAGGGUAUGGCUGUUCGCCAUUUAAAGUGGUACGCGAGCUGGGUUUAGAACGUCGUGAGACAGUUCGGUCCCUAUCUGCCGUGGGCGCUGGAGAACUGAGGGGGGCUGCUCCUAGUACGAGAGGACCGGAGUGGACGCAUCACUGGUGUUCGGGUUGUCAUGCCAAUGGCACUGCCCGGUAGCUAAAUGCGGAAGAGAUAAGUGCUGAAAGCAUCUAAGCACGAAACUUGCCCCGAGAUGAGUUCUCCCUGAGACUUAGAGUCUCCUGAAGGAACGUUGAAGACGACGACGUUGAUAGGCCGGGUGUGUAAGCGCAGCGAUGCGUUGAGCUAACCGGUACUAAUGAACCGUGAGGCUUAACCUUACAACGCCGAAG